UACGAAGGGGGCUAGCGUUGUUCGGAAUUACUGGGCGUAAAGCGCACGUAGGCGGCUUUGUAAGUUAGAGGUGAAAGCCCGGGCUCAACCUGGGAAGUGCAUUCGAUACUGCGUAGCUUGAGUCCCGGAGAGGGUGGUGGAACUCUCGGUGUAGAGGUGAAAUUCGUAGAUAUCGAGAAGAACACCGGUGGCGAAGGCGGCCACCUGGACGGGUACUGACGCUGAGACGCGAAAGCGUGGGGAGCAAACAGG
rnacentral:rRNA from 1 species